rnacentral:rRNA from 1 species
GACGAACGCUGGCGGCGUGCUUAACACAUGCAAGUCGAACGGAAAGGCCCUGCUUUUGUGGGGUGCUCGAGUGGCGAACGGGUGACUAACACGUGAGUAACCUGCCCUUGACUUUGGGAUAACUUCAGGAAACUGGGGCUAAUACCGGAUAGGAGCUCCUGCUGCAUGGUGGGGGUUGGAAAGUUUCGGCGGUUGGGGAUGGACUCGCGGCUUAUCAGCUUGUUGGUGGGGUAGUGGCUUACCAAGGCUUUGACGGGUAGCCGGCCUGAGAGGGUGACCGGCCACAUUGGGACUGAGAUACGGCCCAGACUCCUACGGGAGGCAGCAGUGGGGAAUAUUGCACAAUGGGCGGAAGCCUGAUGCAGCAACGCCGCGUGCGGGAUGACGGCCUUCGGGUUGUAAACCGCUUUCGCCUGUGACGAAGCGUGAGUGACGGUAAUGGGUAAAGAAGCACCGGCUAACUACGUG